AUUGAACGCUGGCGGCAGGCUUAACACAUGCAAGUCGAGCGGAGAUGAGGUGCUUGCACCUUAUCUUAGCGGCGGACGGGUGAGUAAUGCUUAGGAAUCUGCCUAUUAGUGGGGGACAACAUUCCGAAAGGAAUGCUAAUACCGCAUACGCCCUACGGGGGAAAGCAGGGGAUCUUCGGACCUUGCGCUAAUAGAUGAGCCUAAGUCGGAUUAGCUAGUUGGUGGGGUAAAGGCCUACCAAGGCGACGAUCUGUAGCGGGUCUGGGAGGAUGAUCCGCCACACUGGGACUGAGACACGGCCCAGACUCCUACGGGAGGCAGCAGUGGGGAAUAUUGGACAAUGGGCGGAAGCCUGAUCCAGCCAUGCCGCGUGUGUGAAGAAGGCCUUUUGGUUGUAAAGCACUUUAAGCGAGGAGGAGGCUACCUGGAUUAAUACUCUAGGAUAGUGGACGUUACUCGCAGAAUAAGCACCGGCUAACUCUGUGCCAGCCGCCGCAGAAACAC
rnacentral:rRNA from 1 species